GUGGCAGUAGUUCAGUGGUAGGGCUCUCGCUUCAUACGUGGGAAGACCUGGGUUGGAUUCUCGGCUGCUUUU
rnacentral:tRNA from 1 species